rnacentral:rRNA from 1 species
GACGAACGCUGGCGGCGUGCUUAACACAUGCAAGUCGAACGGAAAGGCCCUGCUUUUGUGGGGUGCUCGAGUGGCGAACGGGUGAGUAACACGUGAGUAACCUGCCCUUGACUUUGGGAUAACUUCAGGAAACUGUGGCUAAUACCGGAUAGGAGCUCCGGCUGCAUGGUGGGGGUUGGAAAGUUUCGGCGGUUGGGGAUGGACUCGCGGCUUAUCAGCUUGUUGGUGGGGUAGUGGCUUACCAAGGCUUUGACGGGUAGCCGGCCUGAGAGGGUGACCGGCCACAUUGGGACUGAGAUACGGCCCAGACUCCUACGGGAGGCAGCAGUGGGGAAUAUUGAACAAUGGGCGGAAGCCUGAUGCAGCAACGCCGCGUGCGGGAUGACGGCCUUCGGGUUGUAAACCGCUUUCGCCUGUGACGAAGCGUGAGUGACGGUAAUGGGUAAAGAAGCACCGGCUAACUACGUG